rnacentral:rRNA from 1 species
CCUACGGGAGGCAGCAGUGGGGAAUAUUGGGCAAUGGGAGAAAUCCUGACCCAGCGACGCCGCGUGAACGAAGACGGCCUUCGGGUCGUAAAGUUCUUUUAUGUGGGAAGAAUUAAGUGACGGUACCACAUGAAUAAGCCCCGGCUAACUACGUGCCAGCAGCCGCGGUAAUACGUAGGGGGCGAGCGGUGUCCGGAAUUACUGGGCGUAAAGGGCACGCAGGCUGUGCUUCAAGUCAGCUGUUAAAGGAUGCGGCUUAACCGUGUUAUGCAGUUGAGACUGAGGUGCUGGAGUGCCGUAGAGGCAAGUGGAAUUCCCAGUGUAGCGGUGAAAUGCGUAGAUAUUGGGAAGAACAUCGGUGGCGAAGGCGACUUGCUGGACGGUAACUGACGCUGAGGUGCGAAAGCCAGGGGAGCAAACGGGAUUAGAUACCCUAGUAGUC